rnacentral:rRNA from 13 species
AAAAAAAAAAAAAAAUGAACAAAAAGAAAGAGUUCAUGAAAAAAAAAAAAAUUCCCAAGCUCAACUACCUCUUCCUCCUCUCCCAAAUAACACUAUUUUUUUGUUU